AGGAGACUUCGGUCUCUGAGUAGAGCGGCGCACGGGUGAGUAACGCGUGGAUGAUCUACCCUUGAGUUCGGGAUAACGGUGCGAAAGCGCCGCUAAUACCGUAUAACAAUCCAUUUCAUCGUGGGUUCAAAGCAGGCCUCUUCAUGAAAGCUUGCGCUUGGGGAUGAGUCCGCGUCCCAUUAGCUUGUUGGCGGGGUAACGGCCCACCAAGGCUACGAUGGGUAGCUGGUCUGAGAGGAUGAUCAGCCACACUGGAACUGAAACGCGGUCCAGACUCCUACGGGAGGCAGCAGUGGGGAAUAUUGCGCAAUGGGGGAAACCCUGACGCAGCGACGUCGCGUGAGGGAAGAAGGCCUUCGGGUCGUAAACCUCUGUCAGAAGGGAAGAACAUCCGGGAGUCGAACAGCCUCCCGGCCUGACGGUACCUUCAGAGGAAGCGCCGGCUAACUCCGUGCCAGCAGCCGCGGUAAUACGGAGGGCGCAAGCGUUAAUCGGAAUCACUGGGCGUAAAGCGUGCGUAGGCUGUUUGAUAAGUCAGACGUGAAAUCCCUCGGCUCAACCGGGGAACUGCGUUUGAUACUGUUGAACUAGAGUC
rnacentral:rRNA from 1 species